rnacentral:rRNA from 1 species
UACGUAGGCAGCGAGCGUUGUUCGGAGUUACUGGGCGUAAAGCGUGCGCAGGCGGUUAUACAAGACAGAUGUGAAAUCCCCGGGCUCAACCUGGGAAUUGCAUUUGUGACUGUAUGGCUAGAGUGUGUCAGAGGGGGGUAGAAUUCCACGUGUAGCAGUGAAAUGCGUAGAUAUGUGGAGGAAUACCGAUGGCGAAGGCAGCCCCCUGGGAUAACACUGACGCUCAUGCACGAAAGCGUGGGGAGCAAACAGG